UCUGAGAUCACUUAGUCCAACCAUCAGCCCAUGCCCACUGACCACAUCCCUCAGUGCCAUACCCACACGUUUCUUCAGCACCCUCAGGGACAGUGGCUGCACCACCUCCCUGCACCAUCUACCUCACCACUCUUCUUAGAUGAAAAUUUUCUCAUUAUCCAGCCUGAAUCUGCCCUGGCACAACCUGAGGCCAUCAUUCUCUCUCACCCUAUUGCUGUUACCUGGUUCAAGAGGCCAACUCACAUCUCAUUACAACCUCCCUUCAGGUAGUUGUGGACAGUGAUAAGGUCUCCCCUGAGCCUCCUCUUCUCCAGACUUAACAAUCCCAGUUCCUUUAGCCCAUAAGAUUUGUGCUCCAGACUCCUCACAGCUUCAUUACCCUUCUCUGGAUACUCUCCAAGGUCUUGAUGUCUUUCUUGUAGCGAAAGGCCCAAAACUGAACGCAGUACUCAAGGUGAAGCCUCACCAGUACCAAGUACAGAGCCAAACAUAAUUCAUGGAAUGAGCUUUCCUGCCUGGAUCAAGCUUUCAUCUGUCAGCAAGCAGCAGGCAAAGAGAAAUCCAGAGACAGUGGUGCUGGGAAUCACCAUGAAGGCCCUGCUUAUGUUUGGGAGAGUUCGGCCCAAGUUACCAUCAACAAGUAACCAGACUGUCAUGGCUGUCGGAAUUCUCAUUUCUAAUGACUGCAAACCAGCAGCAGCUGUUCAGAAAGGAAACAAAUGGCAAUACCCAUGUCCUUCUUUGUCUGUCUUUCCCACAUCCCAGGGACAACCGGACUGUACUUUCAAAGAGAUGAGAGGCCACCAGUCAAAAAGCCACUAAAAGGCAGCCCCUUGCUGGAACCAGCAAGCACACCUUCAGGGAAGAAAUCUUUGUCCUAAAAAUCAGCUGACAUUCUAUCACUCAUGGCGUCUUCCUACUGCUGUUCUUUUCCUCUCCUCUGUACGCACCUUCAUUCCCCUUUUCCUUCUUCCAUUUGGUUUUCUUCCCAGCCGUGGGACUCAGUGCCCCGUUCCAGCUGUCCCACUCCAGCUGGAGUUAGUACGUCCACUCACACACACAUAGUUCAAUGCUCUGCUCCUGUCUCACUUCACCAUGGUCUCAGGCACACACACACCCCGUCCCCGUCCCCGUCCCUCCUGGGCAGGAAGGAUGCUGUCGGGGUUGCACAGCUGUUCGCUCUCCAUCCUUGCUUUAGCUGCCUCCUUUCCUGCUUUCUCCCCAGCCCUGGGGCAGCAGCAGCUUUGGUCAAGCAGCACGGUACAGCAUAGCAUCAGCCUGUGUGAGGAGGGGGAACUACAGCAGUACAUCAAGCAAAACCCACACACAGCAGCAGCCCGGGAAGGGGCUCGUGCCAAUCUGUUCCUUGUACAGCACCAGCCAGUUAUUUGUGCACGUGUGAGAGCGUACAGGAAGAGGGAUGAGGCAGGCAGCCAGGCCUCAGAUCCCUCUCUAUAACUUAAUUUGUACAACCAAGAGAAGCAGACAUACUGAAACACGAGCAGACAGACAAAAAAGUGAGACCAGUGCAGCAAAUGGUCUGUCACAUUUGCUGGGCUAGGCAGAAACCAAAGCCAGGCAUGGACUAUUUGCUAAAUACAGCACAUCAGUGCUCAGUGACUUUUUGGGGGGCAGGCUGAAGGGAAAAAGUUUUCCUUCACGUUUUGGCUUGUUAAAGUGUUACAAGCUCAAGUGGAAAUGAUUUACUCCUGAUGGAUGCGGCGCUGCUGUUGGACUGAUGAGUUUAAUAACCUACGGACACGGAGAGUGAAGCCCUAAAUAAAUCACAACAAAUGAAAAUACUGUUAGCAGUUUCAUAAUUUAAUGAAAAAGUACUUGUAAAAAGGGGACAUCUGAAAAAGACCGAGUCCAUCUUGGAAAAUUGAAUAUAUAUAUAUAUAUUUAUAUAUAUAAAACAAAAUGCAAAAACACAAAAAAAAAAAAAAAAAAAAAAUCAACAAAUAAGGUUAAGAGGUAAUACUUCAAACAGUUAGCCACCGAACACACAAUAAAAACUAGCAAAUGCACUUUGGGAACAAUACUUGAGAACUACACAACCAAGGGCUCCUUCAUAUAUCUAUUAAAAUCACGUAAAAAUUAGCAAAACUGUUGCCCAGGAAUGAAUAACCCCAGAAGAGCAGAAACACUGAGUUUUGCUGAAGCACCAUUUUCCUCACCUCCUCCACACGCUGCUGGCCACAAAAUGACAUGAACACUUUGCUCACCUCCCAGUGCAAGCUGCGUGGAAUUUCGUGACCAGGAAGAGGAUUGCUAAUAAAUAUCGAAGGAGAACUUAGAGAAUCAGAACUGGAACACAAAUGAACAGACAUCUGUUUCCUUAUUCUGAACGGCCCAUGGCUUAGAACGCAAAGCAUUUCCCUUUAAAAUAAAAUAUGGCGAAACCUAAAAUGCUACUGCAUAUUUACACCAAAAGAAAUAAUUUUGAAGAUACAGCUCUAGAAAGACAAAUUACACAAAUAUACAAAAAAUCAAGAAGUGGGAGGGAAAAAAGAAAAAAAUAAGAUGCAUGAAGCAAAUAGAUUAGAAUUGCCAACUAUACUGGGUUGUAUUUUUUUUAUUGUUAUUUCACUACAGAAAAGUCCUCCAGCCUUGACCUGCUAGUCCUAUUGGAAGUAGAGAGAUUUCAAAGGUUAAACCAAAUCUGAAAAUGUUGCUGUAAUUUCCUAAGCAAUAAUUUAAGAUGAUAAAGGAAAGCAAGCUGUUGUUUGGGUUCUGCAUAGUCAUCUUUAUGCGGGGUGUGAACCUUCCUAGACAAAAUGAGCUCUCUAGGGUGCUGCAGAUGGCUGGAACGUGCAGCACAGCUGAGAACACUGCAGUAGUUUUGCCUGGAAAAGGAGAAAUUUGUCUCUAUUCAAACAAAAAAAUCCCGGAUCACAUAAACAAGCCAGAAGGGGUUUCCCCUUGCUUCUCACCUCCUCCACACCGGUUGAAAUUUAAACACCAGUUAACAACUGGCUUUAAAGCACAUGCAAAAAGCUUUAGUUUGGGAAACAGCAACUGAUCCAGAGUUUGAAAAGCAGCUUAAUGGAAGCAAUAAGUUUUCAGCAAUUAAAAACAUAUUCCAGAUGAUGACUGGCUAAAAUUUUACAGUCCUAGAUGCCAGAAGCAGGGCUCUUAAGCCCACAUUUAGGCAGCUAGGGUUGAAAAUUUGUGCCUACGUAAAAAAUUCGGACAAAAUUAUUUCUAAUUCAGCUUAUUUUAAAAACACCAGGUACAAAUACCUCUGUACGUGAAAACUCAAUUUCAAGAGGAACCUGGCAUCACUGGUGAUUGCCUAAAUGUAAGUGUCAAAUAGCAUUUUUCUUUGAAGUAGUACAUCUACUUUUGUAAACACUAUCCACAAAAUUAGCCAUCUGUACUUGUUAGCUGGGUAAAAUAUUUACAAGUGCAUCCCACAACAAGCAGCUAUGUACAGAGAUUAAAAAAAAACUGAAGUACUACAAGUUGUAUAUUUACAAAAUAAGCAAAUUAUUGUGAAGAGAAACACAACCCUCAGCAGGAGCGGGGAGCAAGGGCACAACAGAGGUCAGCAAGUUUGGCAGCUCCAGCGACACCUGCUCCAACUUCCACAAGGAGCCUGCAGACACCCCUGCGGCUGGAGCCCCCCCCCCAGGACGGCAGGGGGCCGUCACUCAGUAGUCGCUUGGGCCUGAUCCAGCAGAGCACGCCGGUACGUGCCUGGGGAGCUGAGCCCUGAGCUCUGGGAGAAAUCAGCGGGACUCAGCACAGGAGUAGCUCUAACACGGACCUAAAGUGCCUUGCUGGAUCAGAGCCGCGCUGCAGGUGCCGUAAGAAUGCGGUUUCAGUGUCUCCGUUCGCGGUUCCUUGCAACACGCCAGAGCAAUGCAAGGACUUCUCUAAUGCCUGUCCACCACAAGACUGACAUGAGGUGGACAUCUGGCCUCGCGCACGUGCUGGCAAGGAGGAAGCAGUUUCCUGAAUUUACGUAAGGAUCAACCGCUUCAUGCUUUCCCAGAUGUUCAACUCUAAUAGAACCCAUAAUUUCUUCGUGGCUUUGCAAUAGCUCGGUUAACCUUGCAAAGGCUGCAAGCCAAUUCACAGUUGAACAGAACUACUCUGAUUUCACUCCCCUUCCCAUCUCCCGCUGCAGUUCUUCCUAACGUAGCUCCUGUGCUGUUUUCUGGAACCUGUGGAUGCUGAGCUUUGCACUGGUACACCAGAAUACACAAAGGCUGAGUUACCCCGUGGGGGCUUCUAAUCACCUUUGUACCGAACUGUGAGAAAUCAUAUUCUUUUUGUUUCUAUUGUGACACUCUCUUCCAAAGUCCUUACUUGGGCUUUCUCUCUCCGAGCUACUCCGUCUUAACCUCAUUUGCUCUUUAUUUUCAUCGCUUUCUGCUUCAGAGUCACUCAGCUCCAAGUCGGGACAGUACCCAUCAUUGUCCUGGUACGGAGCCCCUUCGAGCGUCUGCUUGCUCCACAAGCGUUCUUUUGCUGUGAGCCUUCUCGUUGGCUUCUCACAGCACCGCAAAUCUUCCGUUGUCCUCACCAGACUGUUAGUGGCCUCCUUAAAGGACCGGCUAAAGUGUUCGAUGGUGGAUUUUCUAAAGCCGCUCUGGCUGGCCAAAUGAGCCGUCAGCACAGACUCCUGUUCAAAGGGCGUCUGGCUGGAGCUGUCCCUCUGGCUCACGUCGCCAGUCCUGCCCAUCAGCCCAUUGGAUUUGGCCACCAGCCGCGAGCCAUCCUGCUGCAGCCGCCCAUUCCCGAUGGAGGACUGUCCGUGCAGAGCAGCCUGCAGUGCCAGGGGCUUCCCUGAUGGUUGGCCCCGGUGGAACUCUGGCACCUGCACAAGACCGGAGUCCUUCGCCUCACCACGAGGCUUGCCGAUCCCUCCUGUCACAAGCAACCCAUUACUUCUGGUGUCGUGCUGAUACCUGGGGUGGGUGAGACACCAGAUCUACAAGCUGGCCUGAAGGGAAAGUAGAACUGCAAAGAUAAUGAUAAUCAGAUAUAUGCCUGGCACAGAGCUAGGAGCUGCGCACCGCAACAGGCUGCCAUAUUAAAAAGCCAUCCAGAAUCUUGACAUCUUCUUUGUGAAGUUUUGCAAAUGCAAGGCCUGGCUGCUUGAGAGCAGAAGGUUUGGGAAUAAGGCACCCCGCAAUGUCACGGUGCCAACAGAUGUGGCUGCAACCUUACACUACGCCAUUCACUCUAAGGGAUCUACAGAUCUUACCAGAAGGAAAGCACAAGUAUCAUUCUGAGUACAAAAUUAAACACACACAUCCUCUA